rnacentral:rRNA from 1 species
ACAUAGGGUGCGAGCGUUAUUCGGAUUUAUUGGGCGUAAAGAGCUCGUAGGCGGUUCGACAAGUCGGGUGUUAAACCCCCAGGCUCAACCUGGGGCCGCCACCCGAAACUGUCGUGACUAGAGUUUGGUAGGGGAUCACGGAAUUCCUGGUGUAGCGGUGGAAUGCGCAGAUAUCAGGAGGAACACCAGUAGCGAAGGCGGUGAUCUGGGCCAAUACUGACGCUGAGGAGCGAAAGCGUGGGGAGCGAACAGGAUUAGAUACCCUGGUAGUCCACGCCGUAAACGGUGGGCACUAGGUGUGGGGACUUUUCAACGGUUUCCGCGCCGCAGCUAACGCAUUAAGUGCCCCGCCUGGGGAGUACGGUCGCAAGACUA